rnacentral:rRNA from 1 species
AUUGAACGCUGGCGGCAUGCCUUACACAUGCAAGUCGAACGGUAACGCGGGGCAACCUGGCGACGAGUGGCGAACGGGUGAGUAAUACAUCGGAACGUGCCCAGUAGUGGGGGAUAGCCCGGCGAAAGCCGGAUUAAUACCGCAUACGACCUAAGGGUGAAAGCGGGGGAUCGCAAGACCUCGCGCUAUUGGAGCGGCCGAUGUCGGAUUAGCUAGUUAGUGGGGUAAAGGCCUACCAAGGCAACGAUCCGUAGCUGGUCUGAGAGGACGACCAGCCACACUGGGACUGAGACACGGCCCAGACUCCUACGGGAGGCAGCAGUGGGGAAUUUUGGACAAUGGGCGCAAGCCUGAUCCAGCCAUGCCGCGUGCGGGAAGAAGGCCUUCGGGUUGUAAACCGCUUUUGUCAGGGAAGAAACGGUCUGGGUUAAUACCUCGGACUAAUGACGGUACCUGAAGAAUAAGCACCGGCUAACUACGUGCCAGCCGCCGCAGUAACAC